GAUGAACGCUGGCGGCGUGCCUAAUACAUGCAAGUCGAGCGAACAGACGAGGAUCUUGCUCCUCUGACGGUAACGGCGGAAGGGUGAGGAACACGUGGAUAACCUACCUAUAAGACUGGGAUAACUUCGGGAAACCGGUGCUAAUACCGGAUAAUAUAUUGAACCGCAGGGUUGAAUAGUGAAAGACGGUUUUGCUGGCGCUUAUGGGUGGACUCGCGGCGGAUCAGCUUGGUGGUAGGGUAGUGGCUUACCAAGGCAAUGACGCGUAGCCGACCGGAGAGGGCGACCGGCCGCAGUGGGACUGAGAUACGGCCCAGACUCCUACGGGAGGCAGCAGUGGGGAAUAUUGCACAAUGGGCGGAAGCCUGAUGCAGCAACGCCGCGUGCGGGAUGACGGCCUUCGGGUUGUAAACCGCUUUCAGCAGGGGCGAAGCUUGUGGUGACGGUACCUGCAGAAGAAGCACCGGCUAACUACGUG
rnacentral:rRNA from 1 species